rnacentral:rRNA from 1 species
GAUGAACGCUGGCGGCGUGCCUAAUACAUGCAAGUCGAGCGAACAGACGAGGAGCUUGCUCCUCUGACGUUAGCGGCGGACGGGUGAGUAACACGUGGAUAACCUACCUAUAAGACUGGGAUAACUUCGGGAAACCGGCGCUAAUACCGGAUAAUAUAUUGAACCGCAUGGUUCAAUAGUGAAAGACGGUUUUGCUGUCACUUAUAGAUGGAUCCGCGCCGCAUUAGCUAGUUGGUAAGGUAACGGCCUACCAAGGCGACGAUGCGUAGACGACCGGAGAGGGGGAUCGGCGACCCUGGAACGUGGACAGGGACCAUAGUACUGAGGGAGGGAGCAGUAGGGAAUCGGACGCAAUAGGGGAAAGCAUGACGGAGCAAGGGGGCGUGAGUGAUGGAGGUGUUCGGAGCGGAAAACUGUGUUAUUAGGGGAGAACAAAUGUGGAAGUAACUAUGCAGGGCGUGACGGUAACGAAUCAGGAAGCCACGGCUAACUACGUG